rnacentral:lncRNA from 1 species
UGUUUUCUUGUGUAAUAGUGUAUGGUUAGUUGGAAGAGUUUCAAGCAGCCAAUCAUUGCAGAUUCGAUCAUGAAAGUCGAGUACAUCACCACCUUUGAAGCUGCUAAGAAAGUUUUUUGGUUCAAAAAGUUUGUUGCGAAGCUGGAUGUGAUGCUAUCAGAUGCCAUUGCAUGGUACUGCAACAACAACGGCAUCAUAGCCCUAACUAAGGAGCCC